UUUCAUCAAGAGGCUUUUUUGUUCCUCUUCAAUUUCUGACAUAAGGAUGAUGUCAUCUGCAUAUCUGAGGUUAUUGAUAUUUCUCCCGGCAAUCUUGAUUGCAGCUUGUAACUCAUCCAGCAGGCAAUUCUCAUGAUGUGUUCUGAAUAUAAGUAAAAUAAGAAAAUAAAAGUAAAAAA